UACAGAGGUCUCAAGCGUUGUCCGGAUUCAUUGGGCGUAAAGGGUGCGUAGGUGGCGCCAUAAGUCAGGUGUGAAAUCUCGGGGCUCAACCCCGAAACUGCACUUGAUACUGUGGUGCUCGAGUACUGGAGAGGAGAUUGGAAUUUACGGUGUAGCAGUGAAAUGCGUAGAUAUCGUAAGGAAGACCAGUGGCGAAGGCGAAUCUCUGGACAGUUACUGACACUGAGGCACGAAGGCCAGGGGAGCAAACGGG
rnacentral:rRNA from 1 species